rfam:Erinaceus europaeus unplaced genomic scaffold scaffold00420, whole genome shotgun sequence
GGAUGUGAGGGCGAUCUGGUUGCAACAUCUGUCACCCCUUUGAUCGCCAGGGUUGAUUCAGCUGAUUUGGCUGGCUAGGCAGGUGUUCCCUUCCUCCCUCACUGCUCUAUGUGCAUCCCUCCCGAAGCUGCGCCCUCAGUCAAAGAGGACGGCCUUCCCCGAAUAGAGAUGGACCAGUCUUUGGGCGAAUGUAUACAAGUAGUUGCGCUCCCCUGCUAAACAAGCUCUAAACAAGCUCUCAAGAGUACCUCCUACAAUGAUGGUUUUUAUCCUUUUCAAUACAUUGACAUCAACUAUGGAUUCAAUAACCUUCUAAAUCUCUGCUCUGU